rnacentral:rRNA from 1 species
AUUGGAAGGGGUGUAUUUAUUAGAUUAAAAACCAAUGCCCUUCGGGGCUCACUGGUGAUUCAUGAUAACUCCUCGAAUCGCAUGGCCUUGCGCCGGCGAUGGUUCAUUCAAAUUUCUUCCCUAUCAACUUUCGAUGUUUGGGUAUUGGCCAAACAUGGUUGCAACGGGUAACGGAGGGUUAGGGCUCGACCCCGGAGAAGGAGCCUGAGAAACGGCUACUACAUCCAAGGAAGGCAGCAGGCGCGCAAAUUACCCAAUCCCGACACGGGGAGGUAGUGACAAUAAAUACUGAUACAGGGCUCUUUUGGGUCUUGUAAUUGGAAUGAGUACAAUUUAAAUCCCUUAACGAGGAACAAUUGGAGGGCAAGUCUGGUGCCAGCAGCCGCGGUAAUUCCAGCUCCAAUAGCGUAUAUUAAAGUUGUUGUGGUUAAAAAGCUCGUAGUUGAACCUUGGGCCUGGCUGGCCGGUCCGCCUCACCGCGUGUACUGGUCCGGCCGGGCCCUUCCCUCUGUGGAACCCCAUGCCCUUCACUGGGUGUGGUGGGGAACCAGGACUUUUAC